UGCGCAGGCGGAACUUUAAGUCAGUGGUGAAAUCUUGCCGCUUAACGGUAAAAUUGCCAUUGAUACUGAAGUUCUUGAAUAUGGUUGAGGUAGGCGGAAUGUGUUGUGUAGCGGUGAAAUGCAUAGAUAUGACACAGAACGCCGAUUGCGAAUGCAGCUUACUAAGCCAUUAUUGACGCUGAGGCACGAAAGCGUGGGGAGCGAACAGGAUUAGAUACCCUGGUAGUCC
rnacentral:rRNA from 1 species